GUGGGAGUGGCUGGCUGGUGAGGUGAGAAGGAGGCGAGGUGUGGAAAAGUACCGGGCUGAGCUUUUGUGAGAUGAUGGCUGGUUUCAUAACAGCUUUUUUUUUACCUGAACCUGGGUUCAGGGCUAGUAUCUGACUGUCGCUGAUGUCAACCUUUCCUGCAUCAUGUCAUGCUCAGACGGGCAUCUUAUGAUCGGAUAUCUACUGAGGGAAUUUAUAUUGGUUUGUGUUUACAUCAGAUUAUGUCCCACCAUACGUUGAAAAUGACAACAUAGCGCUGGAGGAACUGUAUGGCAUCAACAACAGGAAGGAGGCUUCACGGCCGGAGGCUGCUUUUAUUGUGGCGGGAGAAACCAGUGACGCGAACAAUUCAGUGUUUGACUACAAUGUCACAAGUUAUGGUGUUUUUAAAAAAGGGGACGUAACACUUCAUAAUAAUUUUAUAAUACUUUAAUAGAAGGAUGUUGGUGUAUGAACCUCUCCUGCAACCCACUUUCCAUUAGGGAUUGUAUAAAUGAUUCACAUGAUGUUGAAUUUGUUUAAUUUCCAAGGAUUUUGUGGGGGCGACUGCUGUAAACUACCUGUCUACUCUCAACAACAAUUAGCUCCUGUGGCAGCGCUGCAGGUUACAUCUCUCCAAAGCCUCCAUGUCUCCAGUCAACAGAAGCACACUGAACAGUUUUAUCAGCUUCAAUUACGACAAAAUGUACCUCACCUCUUAAAAAUAUGAACAUAAUAACAACAAAUUGCUGAGAGACCACAAGGCAAUAUUCAAAGAUGUAUCCAAAACACUUGUUCCCAAUUGCAAAAUAAUGAGCAGGAAGUACUGUGCUGCUGUGAGUAACAGAAAAAACAGUGUAGCUCUCUCUGUAUGCCUUUUGGAAGUUGCUGCCAAACAUAUCUCCAAGACCACAGCUAUUACCUCUGUUCAGUGCCAUGCAAUUUAUAUGGUGCUCCCCAGGGAAAUUAACUUUGUGGUGACAUCUCUCAAGAUCAACAAUUCUGAAAGGAAUUUAGGCCAUUCCUCAACAGAGAGGAAUAGUAUAAUUACGGGCCAUGAACUUCAGCAGAGGAAUGUUCUCUCUCUCUCGACUAUAUCAUUUUAUUUGUAGGAGUGCUGGAGAACUGAUGUUUAACAGUUUGCUUUACAUGCCAGAACUAGGAAUUUGACCUUAGAACUUAAAGAUGUUUGAAGUUUCUUAAAGCAAAACUCCAGACGUUCACAAGCUGUGCAUUUGGAGAUAUUAUAAUAUGAUGAAAAGGCCAUAAAUAACUAUUGGCCUUGAAUAAAUACAAUUAUGAAAAUAUAAUAACAUUUGUAAUGCUACAUGCUACGAGAGUCACCGGGAGACUGGGCUGCUGCUGGCUCAAAUGAAGUGUCAAUCGAAAGGUCAGAGUUCGGCAUCCCUUUACCAAUUAUCGAAAUAGCGCUAAUAACUUGAUAUAUGCUGUUUUUACCGUGUUUGAUCACAACAUUAAACGCAUCGAUCAGCUGAUUUCAAAGAUUGCAACAGCUGUUCAUGGGCU